rnacentral:lncRNA from 1 species
AAGUCCCUUCCUCCACUAGGGGUUAGGGAGUGAUGUGCCAAAAGGCUUCUCAGGACUGGGCCCGUUUACCACUAGGGGAGGUGAGGCCACUUCCCCUUAGGGAGCCUUACGGGUGGUUAAUAAUUCCUUUGUGCACAAACAUCAGUUGGACUCCGCUCAAAGGCAGCAUCCAAAUACACAUUGUUCCUGAGUUACGUUAUGCAAAUAUUAGAUUCUUCUGAUGAGAAUCAGCAAAUGGUUGGCAACUGGCAAGCAGAAGAAAGCUCCUUUCCAAGAGUGCUCCAGGGAGGCAUAAAGCAAAACGACACAGCAUGAAGAUGGGGAGAGCCCAGGAGCACCAAGGAAGCGCCCACCUCCAUCCAGCCAGCCUUUCUUCCCCUCAGGGUGGGCUAUGGGGCAGAAAUCCACGCCAGAGUGAGACUUCCCAGAAGAGCUGCAAAAUGCACCCCAAAACCAGAUCCCCGGUGGAGACGCCAACUGUCAGUCCAGCAUCACUCACCAGCUUCCUGGAGUAGUGCGAUGUCUGAGGUAUGGGCUGGGGGCUGAUAGGAGAGAGCAAGGUUCACCCAGGACCUAGGCACAGCCAGCUGGAGGGAGAUCAUCCAGGCCUGGAUUGUUCUGGAAACCUAAUCAGCACCCCUGGAACUCCCUGCAGGCUGCCUGCCUCCCCCUCCACCAGCAGCAACGCAGCCAGGAUCUCACACACAGAGUCUCCAGGGCCAGGCACGGUGGCUCACUCACGCCUAUAAUCCCAGCAAUUUGCGAGGCCAAGACAGGUGGAUCACGAGGUAAAGAGAUCAAGACCAUCCUGGCCAACAUGGCGAAACCCUGUCUCUACUAAAAAUACAAAAAUCAGCUGCACAUGGUGGCGCACACCUGUAGUCUCAGGAACUCGGGAGGCUGAGGCAGGAGAAUCACUUGAACCCGGGAGGCAGGGGUUGCAGUGAGCCAAGAUUAAACCACUGCACUCCAGCCUGGUGACAGAGUGAGACUCCAUCUCAAAAAAAAAAAAAAAAAAACUUCAGAAGCCUGACAUCUUUAUGCCUUGUACAAUUCCCUUAAAUGUCCUCAACUACCUUGCAAUUACCCAAAACUACCCCUUCCUAAUACGACAUGUCUGUGCAUUUUCCCGAGACCACUGCAAAAUCCCCCAGAGAUCCCUACGGUGAUUUGAAGGGAUUAGAUCAGUGGUUCUCAAGUGGGGGCUAUGUUGUUCCCCAAGGGACUUCUGGCAACAUCUGAAGACAUUUUUGAUUGUCAUGACUGGGUGGUGCUGUUAGCAUUUAGUGAACAGAGGCCAGGGAUGAUGAUAAACAUCAUACAAUAUGCAGGACAGGCCCUGACUACAAACAUUAUCUGUCCCAAAGUGUCACUGGUGUCAAGGUUAAGAAACCCUGGAUUAGAUCGAGGAUAAGACUUUUGCUCUGUCUAUUGUCGGGCAAACUGCUCUGCUUCCUUUGAGUUCUGACAACUGUUCUGGCAAGCUGUCUUCCACAGCUGCCAAGGGUUACAGCUAAAUCCUAUUGGCCCAAAUCGUGAUCUAGGAAGGAGCCCCCACAGUGGUGGAAGAGAUGGCACAGAUGUCAGUCUUCACGAGGAAAGUAAUAGAACUUUCUCAAUUUCAUGGGAGAAGACAAGAUUGACAGACUGCAUGACUUUUCCCUUCUCCAACGUCACUAGAAAAGAAAGUGACAGCAAACAUAUCAAGCAGGUUGAAGCUUCAGCUCUCAUUAGCUCUCAGGGGCCCUGAACUUUCACAGAUGUGUUUGCACAUCUGCCCUGGAAGCCACAGCAGCCCAGGAAAAUACCCCAUGCCAAAUGGGCUGUCCCUCAGAGAUUUCAGAUCUGCCCCAACACAGCUGCCUGAGUGUAGGAAGUCAUUUUCAUCACCGUUGAUGGGCUACUUUCUCCAUGGGAAGUAGCAACUGGGCUGGAACUACCACAGGAAGAUACCUUCCCACACAGACACCUUUUAGAGAAUGGAGACUCCUGAAGGUAAUGGGAGACCUCGGACAGAAAACAAGGGGACUGAUUCAGGACCAAGGACAGAACAUGAGGUGUAGCAGACUCAAAUCCAGGCCAGAAACAUCUCCUGUGAAAUUAGUUUCCUUGGGCUAUUGUUGCAAAGUACCACCAACUGGGUGGCUUAAAACAAGAUAAAUUUGUCUCACAUUCCUAGAGUGGACAAAGCUGAAAUCAAGGUAUCAGUAGGGCCACGCUCCCUCUGAAGGCACUAGGGGAGGGUCUGUUCCAGACCUCUCUCCUAGCUUCUGGUGGCAUGCAGCCUACCUCCAGCCUUCACAUGGCGUCUGCCCCAGCCUAACUCCAGCCUUCGUGUGGCUUCUGGCCCAGCCUAACUCUGGCCUUCGCGCGGGAUCUGCUCCAGCCUAACUCCGGCCUUCAUGCGGCGUCCGCCCCACACAUGUGUGCAUCUCUUCACAUGGCAUUCUUUUUACAAGGACACCAGUCGUAUUGAAAUAGGGGCCUACCCUGCUCCAGUAUGAGCGCUUCUUAACUGAUGAUAUCUACAACAAUCCUAUUUCCAUGUAAGGUCACCUUCUGAGGUACUGGGGGUUAGGGUUUCAAAGUAUGAAUUUGGAAGAAGAUCACAAUUCAGCCCAUAUACAACUUCUAAGUUACUACUAUUCUUAUAAGAAAUGCCAAGGUUCUCAUCCAGGCCUAAGGAAGUGGUUUCACAAGGAGGCAACAUCCCAAGCAGCUGUGUGAGCCAGGUAUUACGAACUGAGGACCCUGAGCACUGAUGCGGCGGUCAAAUCCAACCUCCUUAAACCCAUUUAUUUUUAUUCUCUUUUCCUAAGACCUGGCCUCUGAUUCCUAGUGUAAGAUGACCAUCAUUCAGACUAUAAAAGUACAGCACACUAUUUAUCUGAAGUUCACACUUGAAUCCAUCUUCAUUCUCUGAAACACAGUCAUGAACCUAGAGGGUAACCCAGCAUGAAAUGACUGACCUGCGUUCUCAGACAGGGGAACCGGAAGCCAUAAGGAAGAACAACCAGACAAUGCGAAAGAAUUUCAGGCUCCUGCAGGAGAUGGGGUCUCCAGGAAGGCAGGGUGGUGUGCCAGAAAAGCAUCAGAUCAGGAAUCAAGAAACCUGGGUUUUAUUCCUGACUUCACUAUGGGCAAGUUAUAUGACUUGGGGUGCCUCCCCGGGGCCUAGAACUGUGCCUGGCACACAUACAAGGUGUUGAAUGAAUCAACGUGAGGGGGCCUAAUAAGUCCUUGUUUUCUAAUGGUGCAUGUGAAGACCCCUUAUGGUGGAGAAGCGGGAAGGGAGGGAAGCAGACUCUCAACACCAAGCAUCCUCUUCCAUUCUGCUCCCUGCCUAUUCACAUCAACUUUACGUAAUCAGACUUCCAAGAAACCCUCAAAUGCAGGGCACGGAGGGGCCCCAGGAGACAGGCUAGCAACACAUCCUGGGGUCACAUGAUACAGCUCUGAAAUGGUCCCUCAUUCCCAACAUGUGAGGCCACCUUUCUCACAGAUGCACAGGCCUCCCUCAUGAGCAAUAAGCCUCACCUGCAGCCCACCAUAUGUCUUCCUAAACUCGAGGUUCACCACUCGAUUCACAUUCACCACAGCCCCUGAAUGAGGCUGCUCCAAAAUCUCCAAAGAUAAAACAGGCAUCUGGAUUUGGAGCCUCUCCAGCAUGAGGCUGGGACUGCCUUCCCUCUCACCAUUGUUCAGGGGACUUCUCCAUCAUCCAGGGGAACUAAGACAGGUGCAUGGAGUCAGAGCUAUGCCUGUGCACACAGAUGCACACCCCACCCGACCACCUCCACCGGGAGGGAGGCUGAUGGCUCCCAGGAGACACCGCAGUAGGAGCCAUCUUCAUUUGCAAGAUUUCACACGUUCCCUAAUUAUUUCAAGAGGACUUGCAGAUGGAGGUAAUGGGCCCCCUUUUAAGAUGACUUGCCACACAUAUAAUGUCAGGGCUCUCGCAUUCAUCAGCGCCAUCCUCCCAGCCCCCGUCCUCCACCUCCAUCACCAAAAACCCAAAUAAUUUCAAAAACAUUUUUAUCCUAAAAUGUUCCCCUCAAUUUAAAAAAAAAAUUAUCUUCAAGAGAAGAGAUUUCUUUCCAUUUCAAUCCCACAACAAGGAGAAUGUCAGCCCAGCUUUUUUUUGACAGACAAAUUAUUGAAUCAAAGAGAAAAUGCCAUUAAGCUCACAGGUUAGCAAGUGUCAGGAAUGGUUUAAAGAGAUAUCCCCAUUUAUCUUCCAAACAUGCACGAAAUGUCACUAAUGUGUGUUUAUCAUGUAUAAUCAGACAAAGAAAAUAUCGAAAUAAAGUACUCCCGCAUACAAUAGAAAUCUCCUUCCAUCCUUCAAGAUAUCAGUGCUAUUCAAAUAGAAUAAUAAUGAUGAAGCCUCUCUCUUGAAAAUGGAAAUCAAGUGAAAUGUAGAUAGAAAUGAAUUUUUUUUGGUAGUUGAUGUACAUUUCUAAAGUGCAUUAACAGGAAAUCCAGAACUUUUUAGGUCAAUUAUAUUGUCAGUAUUGUCAACGCCACUGAAAUGAAUACUGAAGCAGCGCCUGUUCUUGCUGGAAUCAAGCUACAGAAGAAACUCCUAGAUUGGGGACUUACAGAGGAACUAGAGGCACAUUGGAAGCCUGACAUUGUUCAAGCAUGCAUAUAUAUGUAUAUCUAUUUUUUUCAUUCAAAUCAAUCUGGGUACCAGGCAUUUUGACUUACUAUAAACUUCAAUAGACAGGGGAAAAAAAUUCUGCAACUGAUCUAAAACCUGGCUUUAUUUUCCUCCCUUUUCUUCCUCCAUUAUGACAAAGCUUAUUUUUGUAAGCCAGGUGCUGUGACAACAAUAAAUCUCAGCCUCCAAAUUAGUGCUUUGGACAAGAGUUCUCUACUACUAAUUCUGGACUUGCCAGACCCAGGGACAUGAGCCACGCACUGGAAAGAAGGUAGUCCUUGUGCCAAAAUUGUCAGGCCCCUUCCUGGAAGUCUAGAGAGAAUUAGGCAUUUCAACUGAAAACAUUUUCAUCCUUACUGCUUUCUCUCCCAACAGUCCCACCAGCUGUGUGACAUGCUAUUUCCCGGCUUUCUGGGUUGUGAGUUUCCUGAGAGCAGAAGUCAUACCUGUUUUUAGUCUCCAUAGCAAGAGCAACAUGUAGUAUAAUGACUUUCAAAUAGCAUGUGCUCAAGAUGUUGGUGAGUGAGCAAGUGAAUGGAUGGUUGAAAAAGGAGCUCUUCCUCAGAGGUCUCUCCCAGCCCCACAGUUCCCUGGUUCUGUGAUGUUCUAUAGCUUUGGGGAGGGAACAGCCAAGGUCCUAGACGUCCCCAUGCCUGCUCUGCAAUACAUUAUUAACUCAAGAGAGCUUCUGCUCUCCCAAACUAACCAUAUUGAACUCCCAAAUUACACCACAAGUGUUUUGCCAUUCCAAGUACAAUGUAAGGCAAGGGUCCUAAGAAAGUAGAGGACAAUGUCAAGAGAGUAAUCUCUAAUGUCUGCCUGCCUCAUGGUCCCACCACCCGGCUAUGUGGCCUUGGGCCCUGGAUCGUCACCUGAGAAAUGGGACAACAGUAACCCUAACCCCACGAAGACGUGUGCUUUAAUAAGCUAAUAUGUGUAAAGUUCUUACAACAGUACAUGGUGCAUAAUAAGGCUCAAUACAUG